rnacentral:rRNA from 1 species
UACGUAGGGUGCGAGCGUUGUCCGGAAUUAUUGGGCGUAAAGAGCUCGUAGGCGGUCUGUCGCGUCUGCUGUGAAAACUCAAGGCUCAACCUUGAGCUUGCAUCGGGUACGGGCAGACUAGAGUGUGGUAGGGGUGACUGGAAUUCCUGGUGUAGCGGUGGAAUGCGCAGAUAUCAGGAGGAACACCGAUGGCGAAGGCAGGUCACUGGGCCACUACUGACGCUGAGGAGCGAAAGCAUGGGGAGCGAACAGG